CAAGUGUAUCUGACUGUGUUUUGAUGAUGUAUGAAUUCACAUCCCAGAGCAGGCCCUUAGCAGUUUGUAUGAUAUAGGUUAAAAAAAAAAAAAACCCUGUAUUACUAAUAGUAAAUAAAACAGAGCUAUAUCUGAAUGACAUUUCUGUCAAUUAAUCCUGUACUCCACUGCAUAUCAAAGUCAACUUUCUCCUGGUGCAAUAGAAAUCUUCAUAGAACAGAAAAUUAUACAGAAAAAUUAAAUUACACUGGGUACCAACAAGCAGCCAUUAAUCAAACCUAGUUCAAGGGUGUCUUUAGGUACUGAAAACACUUUGAGAAAUUCAGGGGUUUAAAGUUUUCCCUAAGAUGCACUAAGUUGCUAGAAUGUAGCUAUAUUUGUAUUUGUGACUUGAAAAUCUUAUCCAAGUGGGUCCUCAUUGUUGUUCGGUAUUCUUUAAUUUUAUUGAUCCUAAAUACUGUUGAUUUAACAUUAAAAAUAGAAAAUUAGAAUUUAAGUGUCAAAAAUUAUGGAAUUUCUCUAUACACCUAGUCACUCCCCAAAACAUAAGCAUAUUAAACCCUAAUUAAAGGAUUAUUUACUUUGAACAGAAAAUUAGGCCAGUGAAAUAUUUCUUAUUCACAAGAAAUAGUAAUGUAUGCAUAUUAUUAUAUGUAACAUUAUGUAAUGGCUAUAUAAAAAAUAUAUAAACCAUGGAUAUUUGGUUGUUACAUUGGUGUGUGUGUGUUAAGUAAGGGUGGAGACAAAGCUUCUCUUCUGUUUAGGUUUUCCUUAAUAUAUUUCUCUUUAAAUUCCUCUUAUUAAGCAAGUAAAUUAAGUAAUAAAGACAGGCUAAAAUGUCAUUAGAUUAUGUCUGUGUUCCUUUGUCAUACCUGCCCUCCUUCUGGGCUCACCUUGGAGGGUGUGUGUGUGUGUGUGUGUGUGUGUGUGUGUGUGCGCGCGCGCGCGGGCGCGCGCAAGAGCGCGUACCCACAGACAUGCCUGCAUUUCCUUUCUUGCUUGUUGAGAAGCAUGAAGGAAGAUAGGGAUGCAAAGAUGGGAUUAUUGAUCAGAAAGGCACAUUGUUGCAUGUAAAGUAAGAUGGAAAUAUUUAAAACCCUGUUAAAUCCCAGCUAGAUGAUUAUCUGGGGGUGGGGGCCUUAUUUGUGGUAGCAAGCAGGCUGAUCGAAUAAAUCACUAGAGGACUUCCAGCUCCUGGACUGGCCUCCCUUUCAGCUGCUUUCAGCAAUCUACAGGGGCUCAAUGACGUUUGGCUUUAGGGAAUAGAGCUCCAAGGACACCUGUCUGCAUCUGGUUGGAGACAGGUGUGUGUGUGUGUGUGUGUGUGUGUGUGUGUGUGCGUGCGCGCGCGCGCGUGCACAUGUACAGGGAGGAGCACCAAGGUCACUAACAUGUCCAGGUUCACUCAUGGACCGUGGCAACAUUAUUGGUUUUGAUGGUACGAAUGUGGCUUCUAUGAAAGAAGGUUUGGUUCUUCCUUAGAGUGGGGCGAGGCUCUAUACUCCCCCUCCUCCCUUCUUGAUCCCCGCAAACAAAACCAUUCUACCACUUGAGCCAUCUGCCGCAGGUAUAAUGGAUGGCAGGGGGCCGACCUAACCACACUUCAGUCUCUUCUAGGUCGUCACCGCUCUGCACCAAACAAAUGAGUCCUGUUUCGCCACUAGGGUGCCGAGGUGGCUGGUGGAUGCUGGCCCCCGCCCCUGGCAGCAUUCAGCGCUUAGAAACCAGAGCCAGUUGACAACACGCGAAACACACAGACACAGAGAAAACGCCGAGCCAACGCGCUCUCCCUCUGCCCCCUCCCUCUGCUCUCUGUACACAUGGAGGACAUGUACACAGCCUUUACACACUUAAAAACCCUGGCGACUUCCUCUGAAUUCUUAGUUACUUCUGACGACGGCCUUUCCCACUGCACAUACCCCCUGGUGUGUGUGUGUGUGUGUGGUGCUUGUGUGUGCGCGCGCGCGCGCAAAAGUGCGUGUGUUUAAAACGCUUAUUGGUAGGUCAUCAGCAGCUGAUCAGACAUAAUAAUCCAAUAAUCUUUUUGAAUGCAUACAAUUUUUCGUUAAGGGUAAUUUUUUAAAAAGAAAAAAAAAGGAAAACUGUCGAUUUUCCGUGCAAGUCUUGGAUUCCCAGUUAGGUUCUACACAGACCUACCAAGCCCCCGCCUUCCUAAACUUUCCCUUAACAAGGUUCGAGCUAGGUGCAAACUGUGACUUCAUGAUAGGGCAGAGGCUGUUUAGAAGAGGGGAGCUGUGGGGACGCCCUGCAUAGGGAGAAAAACCCGAUAGCGGAAAGCCCUCCCAACCCCACCCGCCCCGUAGCCUCACGGAACCCUGGCAGGAUCACAGGGUGCCCCAGGUCAGGAGCCCAGAGUCCAGCCUUUCCAAGCCCAAAGCACCCUGCUGACCACGGCCCUUUGGUCGGAUCCCUGCUCGCCGCACCCCGCUCCACCCGCCCGCUAGCAACCCACCCCCAUUUUUAUCAUAGUUUGAGUAAUCCCUGGUAAUGGUGCCCACCUCUCCUGCCUGGGCCAUGGGCAGAGGCUGGACCCCGCCAGGAAUCGAACUCUGCUAUCCCCAGAGUACUUACCUCGAGUGAGGCCCUGGCAAAUGGUGUCCCUGAAGCGUCAAGUUUCCUCUCUCAGCCGUUGUGCCAGAUUCCCCUCCUGUCU
rnacentral:lncRNA from 1 species